GACGAACGCUGGCGGCGUGCUUAACACAUGCAAGUCGAGCGGUAAGGCCCUUUCGGGGGUACGACGAGCGGCGAACGGGUGAGUAACACGUGGGUGACCUGCCCUCAGCUCUGGGAUAAGCCUGGGAAACUGGGUCUAAUACUGGAUAUGACUCCACGGUGCAUGUCGUGGGGUGGAAAGCCUUGUGCGGCUGAGGAUGGGCCCGCGGCCUAUCAGCUUGUUGGUGGGGUGAGGCCUACCAAGGCGACGACGGGUAGCCGGCCUGAGAGGGCGACCGGCCACACUGGGACUGAGACACGGCCCAGACUCCUACGGGAGGCAGCAGUGGGGAAUCUUGCGCAAUGGGCGAAAGCCCUGACGCAGCGACGCCGCGUGAGGGAUGACGGCCUCGG
rnacentral:rRNA from 1 species